AUUGAACGCCGGCGGCAGGCUUAACACAUGCAAGUCGAGCGGGGGAAGGUAGCUUGCUACCGGACCUAGCGGCGGACGGGUGCGUAAUGCUUAGGAAUCUGCCUAUUAGUGGGGGACAACAUCUCGAAAGGGAUGCUAAUACCGCAUACGUCCUACGGGAGAAAGCAGGGGAUCUUCGGACCUUGCGCUAAUCGAUGAGACUAAGUCGGAUUAGCUAGUUGGUGGGGUAAAGGCCUACCAAGGCGACGAUCUGUAGCGGGUCUGAGAGGAUGCUCCGCCACACUGGGACUGAGACACGGCCCAGACCCCUACGGGAGGCAGCAGUGGGGAAUAUUGGACAAUGGGGGGAACCCUGAUCCAGCCAUGCCGCGUGUGUGAAGAAGGCCUUAUGGUUGUAAAGCACUUUAAGCGAGGAGGAGGCUACUCUAGUUAAUACCUAGGGAUAGUGGACAUUACUCGCAGAAUAAGCACCGGCUAACUCUGUGCCAGCCGCCGCAGUAA
rnacentral:rRNA from 1 species